ensembl:lncRNA
UGCAUAUCAUAUGAGGGGCUUUGUACUGCAUUCAAUGUCCAUUUGACUCAAAAAUCUGAGGGGCCACGUGUUUGAAUGUCUGUUUGAACAAAUCGGUUAAGUGAAUACUUCUUCGUUUUAGAAAACCAUGUCAGUCUAAGGAAGAAGAUGAAGAACAGGAUCGGUUCAUUUUUCAAGAGGGCAUGGAAGGCUAUAAAGCGUCCUUCCCUCAGUUGCGGGACCAGAAUGGAGCCAUCUGUGGCUCCACCAGCUGACGCAGAACGGGACCCAGAGCCGGCCGAUCUGGAUUCAUCGUGUUCUGCAGGGCCCUCUGGUUUCAAGCCAACUGAUGAAUCUGAAGAGUUUGGCUAUGAAAUGGGAGGCUUUGGCACAGUGAAUAAUGAAACCCCUACAUCUAGCAGCAAACAGACCGAAGAUGCUGAUUGCCUAGAUGAGUUCAGCCUUUGCAGCGACACAUCCGAAGAUUGUGUGUUCUCUGUCCAGAGAGGAAAACUUGUCCAUAGGCUGGAUGAGUGGAGCUUUGACUGCAACCACUUCAUAUGUGAAGGUGGAAGUGACAAUAGCCUGGAUUUGUUAAGCAUUAGCAGCGGCACAUCCUCUACUGAGGAACGAAGAGUCGCUUGGCAGAAUGUUCCUGCUAGAGAAGAAUGUGCAUGUUCCGACUGCAGGAACAUGUACUCAACAGGGUCUUCAAUGAGCCUGGAGGCGCAGAGUGACAAAGAGGCGUCUCCUGUAGACACUGUGGAGAACAGCACAGGAAAACAUACCAAUUUGUGGAAGAAGAUGAAGAAUGGGAUCUCUUCAUUCUUCAAGAAAGCACCGAAGGCUCUAAAGUGUCCCUCCUUCUGCUGUUGCUGCUGCGAGACCAGAGUGGAGCCAUUUGUGCCUCGAACAGAGGACUUAGAGCCGGACCCAUGGCCAGUUGAUCCCAAACCAUUCUUUGUUGCAAUGCCCUCUGGUUUCAAGCCGAUUGAUAAUUCUCAAGUGUUUUAUUAUAAAUUGGUCAUGUUGGAAUCAGGAAGCUUUGGAUUUCUGUGAAGCGAUUUCAACUAAUGGGACCCCCGUGAAGGGAGCAGAAACCUCAAGCCCACCACAUCAGGACCAGAGAGAGCAGAUCAGUCUUCAUCUGCUAGCGUGACCAAAUUAAUAAUUCAUUAAUAUUAUUAAUUUUUUAAUAACAAUAUGUACAUUUUCUGAAGAAAAUGUAACUGGUGCUUGCCGCAGCAAAAAUCUGCACUAGGGUCUUCUUUGUCAUGUUUUAGGUAAUUGCUAUUAGCAUGUAGCUUUUUGAUAUAUAUAUACAUGUCUAUGUGGCAAUUUCGGGUGGAGGUUGUGCCCCAGGGGUACAACUUAUAGUUGUAUUGCGAGGUGUGUUCUCACACAGCUUGCAAGCCUCUUUAAAUGUGGUAAUCCACGUGUUUUUAUGAAAACCUCCUUUAGCGCUAUGACCCGUCAAAGUUGGCCACAAGUCUUUGGAAGUCACAGGUAUAGCACACCUCUGCCAAGUUUCUAGCAGUAUUCAUCAUCUAAUAUAAUUGUUCUUUUUUUAAAAAGAUGUCUUAAAAUAAAAUACUAUAUCAAAUAAAUGUUCUAUGUAAG